CACGCCUCAUUCCUCUCUGAGCAGACCAGGCACUCUUCACACCACACACAGGAUACGAAAGCCGUUUAUGGAAACAAUUAGCUAGUAAUGGGACCAUUCAUGAGAAUCCAAGAGGUGCAGAAGAAACACCAUUUAGCCUUUGAAGCAGUAAAUACCAGGAAGAGAAACAGCGGACGAGUUACCUUUCUCACACCAAAACAACGCAACACCGCUACCUCACAGCAGCGACAGUGACAAUUACAGUGCCUUCCGGCAGAGACUACAUCGGCAGGAACUACCAGGCUCUCCAGAAAGAGUUUCAUAACUUACAGUCCCGGUACCAUUGUCCCGGCGGGCACCGUUUCCAAACCAGUGCGUUCUUCUCGCAGAGCCAAGUGCCCCGUGCAGGGAGCCCGGCCCGCGGACCCCCGACAGCCCCUGGUGACACCGCCAGGACAGGUGUCCGGUGCCACUGCCACGCCUGCGGCCCGGGUCCGACCCCCGGCACCGCUCCCUGUCACAUCCACACGGGAUACUCACGCCAAGCCUGGGUGGAGGCACGCGGGGCGGGCCCGCGGGCAGCAACGAGCAGGGCCGGCAGCGGAGACCAGCUCUGGCAGCUGAGCGCCGCUCUGUCUGCCGGAUGCCGGGACGCCACAGGAAGCGUCCGGGAUGCGGCGGAAGGACUCAGGAUGCGGCAGGAAAGGCCCGGAAUGCGGCAGGAAGGUUUUUAUCUCCACCCCACAGCGGGUCAUCUGGUCCAAUCUCCCUGCUCAAGUAGGAUCAUCCUAAAGCACAUGGCACAGGAAUGUGUCUGGACGGUUCUUGAGUAAGUCCAGUGAGGGAAACUCCACAACCUCUCUGGGCAAUGUGUUCUAGUGCAUGGUCACCCACAGUGUUAUUCUUUGUAUUCAGGUGGAACUUCCUGUGCAUCAGUUUCUGCCCCUUGCCUCUUAUCCUAUUGCUUGGCACCACCAAGGAGAGCCUGGAUCCAUCCUCUUGACACCUACCCAUCAGAUACUAAUAGACAAUGAUGAAUGAAGAACAUUUUCCUGCACCGUAAAAGCUUUGAAAUAAAAUG
rnacentral:lncRNA from 1 species